AUACGGAGGGUCCAAGCGUUAUCCGGAAUCAUUGGGUUUAAAGGGUCCGCAGGCGGUCAAUUAAGUCAGAGGUGAAAGCCCAUCGCUCAACGAUGGAACUGCCUUUGAUACUGGUUGACUUGAGUUAUACGGAAGUAGAUAGAAUAAGUAGUGUAGCGGUGAAAUGCAUAGAUAUUACUUAGAAUACCGAUUGCGAAGGCAGUCUACUACGUAUAUACCGACGCUGAGGGACGAAAGCGUGGGGAGCGAACAGGAUUAGAAACCCUAGUAGUCC
rnacentral:rRNA from 1 species